UUUUUAGUUGCCUUAUGGAACUCUAGAAAGACUGCCGGUUAUAAACCGGAGGAAGGCGGGGAUGACGUCAAGUCAGCAUGCCCCUUACACCCUGGGCUACACACGUGCUACAAUGGGCGAGACAAUGAGAUGCAAGUCUGCGAAGAUUAGCUAAUCUAUAAACUCGUUCUAAGUUCGGAUUGUAGGCUGCAACUCGCCUGCAUGAAGUUGGAAUCGCUAGUAAUCGCUGGUCAGCUAUACAGCGGUGAAUUCGUUCCCGGGCCUUGCACACACCGCCCGU
rnacentral:rRNA from 1 species